CCUGGGUAGGAGUGAGCAGGCUGUCCCGCCAGCCAUGCCCACAGCUCAUGGGCCCACAGCCCACAUGGGUCACUGGUGGACUCUGGCUGGCUUGAGGCCAUUUUUUGGCUUUAAUUUCAUUGUGGUGAGUCAGGGUUUCUGGGCACCCUGCUGAGGAUUUGGGCUCAGAAGGGGUCUGCACACAGGUAGGCCCCACCACAAGGCUGGCGGCCAUUUUGUGCUCUGCGCAGGGGCAGGCUGCACGCCGGGCCUGUCUGAGGAGGGGGGACGUGGGGAAGGCGCUCCUGAGGUAAAUGGGCACCUUGGGCAGCCCGUGCCCCGUCUGCAGCUGCUCUGGGGUUGUUUUACGGCUUCUGGAAAGAAAUAGAGUGAGAAUUGACAGGUUAUCUAAUGCUGUGUGUUAAAACACAGAGCUCUGCAAGGUCUGGGAGCAGGCUGCCGUCAAAGGCAUGAGGAAAAUGGCACCGGAAGAGGUAUCGGGAGUAACUGCUGAAGUCUCUAGUGCUACAGCAAUGAAAUACUGAAAUUGGGUGUCUGAAAGAAAAGAAAUCUGUUUCAGCUGAGCUCUGGCUCAAAAGCGGGUUACAGUGGCUUAAUGAAUUACCCUGUGUUCGCUGAACAACAUGUGUCCUUACGUGAAAGGAAAACCAUACUGUGUGAGUCGUGUGGCUCCAGCUGAGGACCGAGGCUGCUGUAACAGCAGUGACAGAUCUGUGAACAAAAGUUCCAAGGAAAUAGAAGCUUCAGAAGAGGCUGUUG